AUUGAACGCUGGCGGCAGGCUUAACACAUGCAAGUCGAGCGAGUGGCGGACGGGUGAGUAAUGUCUGGGAAACUGCCUGAUGGAGGGGGAUAACUACUGGAAACGGUAGCUAAUACCGCAUACCAUCGGAUGUGCCCAGAUGGGAUUAGCUAGUAGGUGGGGUAACGGCUCACCUAGGCGACGAUCCCUAGCUGGUCUGAGAGGAUGACCAGCCACACUGGAACUGAGACACGGUCCAGACUCCUACGGGAGGCAGCAGUGGGGAAUAUUGCACAAUGGGCGCAAGCCUGAUGCAGCCAUGCCGCGUGUGUGAAGAAGGCCUUCGGGUUGUAAAGCACUUUCAGCGGGGAGGCGUUACUCGCAGAAGAAGCACCGGCUAACUCCGUGCCAGCAGCCGCGGUAAUUC
rnacentral:rRNA from 1 species